rnacentral:rRNA from 1 species
UACGGGGGGAGCAAGCGUUGUUCGGAUUUACUGGGCGUAAAGGGCGCGUAGGCGGUCAGCACAAGUCAGUUGUGAAAUCUCCGGGCUUAACUCGGAAAGGUCAACUGAUACUGUGCGACUAGAGUGCAGAAGGGGCAACUGGAAUUCUCGGUGUAGCGGUGAAAUGCGUAGAUAUCGAGAGGAACACCUGCGGCGAAGGCGGCCCACUGGCUCGACACUGACGCUGAGGUGCGAAAGCGUGGGGAGCAAACAGG